rnacentral:tRNA from 1 species
GAGGGUGAAGUAUUUGCCUGUACGUCUCAGUUACAUUGAGAAAGACCACCUAUUGGCGCCCUUU